AUUGAACGCUGGCGGCAGGCCUAACACAUGCAAGUCGAGCGGAUGAAGGGAGCUUGCUCCUGGAUUCAGCGGCGGACGGGUGAGUAAUGCCUAGGAAUCUGCCUGGUAGUGGGGGAUAACGUCCGGAAACGGGCGCUAAUACCGCAUACGUCCUGAGGGAGAAAGUGGGGGAUCUUCGGACCUCACGCUAUCAGAUGAGCCUAGGUCGGAUUAGCUAGUUGGUGGGGUAAAGGCCUACCAAGGCGACGAUCCGUAACUGGUCUGAGAGGAUGAUCAGUCACACUGGAACUGGGACACGGUCCAGACUCCUACGGGAGGGAGCAGUGGGGAAUAUUGGACAAUGGGCGAAAGCCUUGUCCAGCCAUGCCGCGUGUGUGAAGAAGGUCUUCGGAUUGUAAAGCACUUUAAGUUGGGAGGAAGGGCAGUAAGUUAAUACCUUGCUGUUUUGACGUUACCAACAGAAUAAGCACCGGCUAACUUCGUG
rnacentral:rRNA from 1 species